rnacentral:rRNA from 1 species
AUUGAACGCUGGCGGCAGGCCUAACACAUGCAAGUCGAGCGGAUGAAGGGAGCUUGCUCCUGGAUUCAGCGGCGGACGGGUGAGUAAUGCCUAGGAAUCUGCCUGGUAGUGGGGGAUAACGUCCGGAAACGGGCGCUAAUACUGCAUACGUCCUGAGGGAGAAAGUGGGGGAUCUUCGGACCUCACGCUAUCAGAUGAGCCUAGGUCGGGUUAGCUAGUUGGUGGGGUAAAGGCCUACCAAGGCGACGAUCCGUAACUGGUCUGAGAGGAUGAUCAGUCACACUGGAACUGAGACACGGUCCAGACUCCUACGGGAGGCAGCAGUGGGGAAUAUUGGACAAAGGGCGAAAGCCUGAUCCAGCCAUGCCGCGUGUGUGAAGAAGGUCUUCGGAUUGUAAAGCACUUUAAGUUGGGAGGAAGGGCAGUAAGUUAAUACCUUGCUGUUUUGACGUUACCAACAGAAUAAGCACCGGCUAACUUCGUG